AGCAGCCGCGGUAAUUCCAGCUCCAAUAGCGUAUAUUAAAGUUGUUGCAGUUAAAAAGCUCGUAGUUGAAUUUCGGGAUCAGUGGGUCGGUCGUGCCACUGGUAUGCACUGGCCCUACUGGUUCCUCCUUCUUGAAGAACUGUAAUGCCAUUAAUUUGGUGUUGCAGGGAAACAGGACUGUUACUUUGAAAAAUUAGAGUGUUUAAAGCAGGCAAUCGCUUGAAUACAUUAGCAUGGAAUAAUGAAAUAGGACGAUCGAUCCUAUUUUGUUGGUUUCUAGAAUUGACGUAAUGAUUAAUAGGGAUAGUUGGGGGCAUUAGUGUUCAAUUGUCAGAGGUGAAAUUCUUGGAUUUAUUGAAGACUAACUACUGCGAAAGCAUUUGCCAAGGAUGUUUUCAUUAAUCAAGAACGAAAGUUAGGGGAUCGAAGACGAUCAGAUACCGUCGUAGUCUUAACCAUAAACUAU
rnacentral:rRNA from 1 species